rnacentral:lncRNA from 1 species
GCCACCGUCAAACGCGGUUUCGAAUCUCACCAAAGUGCCACACCUACCGCGGUCGUGGAUUUUGUCGUCCGUGGCCGUGCUGUGGACCCCGAUUUGUUGCCGAGCUGCGCGUUUGAGUAACGAAGCCGCCAAGACCUUCCGUUUGCUUUCUCUCACGUUCUAGGCCACGCUAACCGAUGCCGAACUUGCGCAGGAAGCUACCGUUCGCCAUCCGCGUGGUCCGCCCGACCCCGAGCUCUCUCUGCCGCAAGAAAACCCC